rnacentral:rRNA from 12 species
CUGCCAGUAGUCAUAUGCUUGUCUUAAGGAUUAAGCCAUGCAUGUCUCAGUAUAAACGAUUUUAUACGGUGAAACUGCGAAUGGCUCAUUACAACAGUUAUAGUUUAUUUGAUCGUGCGGUACUACGUGGAUAACCGUAGGAAUUCUAGAGCUAAUACAUGCCCCAUCGCUUUCGAAAUUUUUCUCCUUUAAGGAAAAAAAUUAGAAAGUGGGAUUUAUUAGAUCAAAAACCAAUCGCUUUAGAGCGUGGCGGGAUGAAUCAUAAUAACUUUCCGAAUCGCAAGGCUAUAAAUUGAGCCGGCGAUAUAUCAUUCAAAUUUCUGCCCUAUCA